GACGAACGCUGGCGGCGUGCCUAAUACAUGCAAGUCGAACGCAGUGGGGACGGGUGAGUAACACGUGGGUAACCUCCCAUCAGAGGGGAUAACACUUGGAAACAGGCGCUAAACCGCUAUUGAUGGAGGGCACUGAGGUGCAGUAGCUAGUUGGAGGGGUAACGGCUCACCAAGGCCACGAUGCAUAGCCGACCUGAGAGGGUGAUCGGCCACACUGGGACUGAGACACGGCCCAGACUCCUACGGGAGGCAGCAGUGGGGAAUCUUCGGCAAUGGACGAAAGUCGGACCGAGCAACGCCGCGUUAGUGAAGAAGGUUUUCGGAUCGUAAAACUCUGUUGUUAGGGAAGCGGUAUCUAACCAGAAAGCCACGGCUAACUACGUGCCAGCAGCCGCGGUAAUUC
rnacentral:rRNA from 1 species